rnacentral:rRNA from 1 species
GACGAACGCUGGCGGCGUGCUUAACACAUGCAAGUCGAACGGUGAAGCGCCUUCCUUUUUGGUGGGUGGGGAGGAGGGGCGAACGGGGGAGUAACACGUGAGUAACCUGCCCCCUUCUUCUGGAUAACCGCAGGAAAGUGUGGCUAAUACGGGAUAUUCUGGGUCGGUCGCAUGAUGGGUCUGGGAAAGAUAUGGUUUCGGGGGGGGAGGGGCUCGCGGCCUAUCAGCUUGUUGGUGGGGUGAUGGCCUACCAAGGCGGUGACGGGUAGCCGGCCUGGGAGGGUGGACGGUCACACUGGGACUGAGACACGGCCCAGACUCCUACGGGAGGCAGCAGUGGGGAAUAGUGCACAAUGGGCGCAAGCCUGAUGCAGCGACGCCGCGUGAGGGAUGGAGGCCUUCGGGUUGUGAACCUCUUUCGCCAGUGAAGCAGGCCUGCCUCGUUUGUGGGUGGGUUGACGGUAGCUGGAUAAGAAGCGCCGGCUAACUACGUG